AAUAGAUACCCGGGUAGUCCACGCCGUAAACGAUGAGUGCUAAGUGUUAGAGAGUUUCCGCCCUUUAGUGCUGCAGCUAACGCAUUAAGCACUCCGCCUGGGGAGUACGGCCGCAAGGCUGAAACUCAAAGGAAUUGACGGGGGCCCGCACAAGCGGUGGAGCAUGUGGUUUAAUUCGAAGCAACGCGAAGAACCUUACCAGGUCUUGACAUCCUCUGACAACCCUAGAGAUAGGGCUUUCCCCUUCGGGGGACAGAGUGACAGGUGGUGCAUGGUUGUCGUCAGCUCGUGUCGUGAGAUGUUGGGUUAAGUCCUGCAACGAGCGCAACCCUUGAUCUUAGUUGCCAGCAUUCAGUUGGGCACUCUAAGGUGACUGCCGGUGACAAACCGGAGGAAGGUGGGGAUGGACGUCAAAUCAUCAUGCCCCUUAUGACCUGGGCUACACACGUGCUACAAUGGAUGGUACAAAGGGCUGCAAACCUGCGAAGGUAAGCGAAUCCAUAAAGCCAUUCUCAGUUCGGAUUGC
rnacentral:rRNA from 1 species